GGGUGACGGAGCGACGCCGCGUGGGUGAAGAAGGCCUUCGGGUUGUAAAACCCUGUCAGGAGUUAUGAAAUGUAAGUGCGCUAAUAUCGUGCUUAUUUGACAAAGGCUCCAAAGGAAGCCACGGCUAACUCUGUGCCAGCAGCCGCGGUAAUACAGAGGUGGCGAGCGUUGUUCGGAAUUAUUGGGCGUAAAGAGCACGUAGGUGGGUUUGCAAGUCAGAUGUGAAAGCCUUCUGUUCAACGGAAGAAUUGCAUCUGAAACUGCUGAUCUUGAGUAUAGGAGGGGAGAAUGGAACUUCUGGUGGAGCGGUGAAAUGCGUAGAUAUCAGAAGGAACGCCGGCGGCGAAAGCGAUUCUCUGGCCUAUUACUGACACUCAGUGUGCGAAAGCUAGGGGAGCAAACGGGACUAGAUACCCCGGUAGUCCUAGCCGUAAACGAUGGGCACUAAGUAGAGG
rnacentral:rRNA from 1 species